AUUGAACGCUGGCGGCAGGCUUAACACAUGCAAGUCGAGCGGAGAGAGGUAGCUUGCUACUGAUCUUAGCGGCGGACGGGUGAGUAAUGCUUAGGAAUCUGCCUAUUAGUGGGGGACAACAUUUCGAAAGGAAUGCUAAUACCGCAUACGUCCUACGGGAGAAAGCAGGGGAUCUUCGGACCUUGCGCUAAUAGAUGAGCCUAAGUCGGAUUAGCUAGUUGGUGGGGUAAAGGCCUACCAAGGCGACGAUCUGUAGCGGGUCUGAGAGGAUGGUCCGCCACACUGGGACUGAGACACGGACCAGACGCCUACGGGAGGCAGCAGUGGGGAAUAUUGGACAAUGGGCGGAAGCCUGAUCCAGCCAUGCCGCGUGUGUGAAGAAGGCCUUAUGGUUGUAAAGCACUUUAAGCGAGGAGGAGGCUACUUUAGUUAAUACCUAGAGAUAGUGGACGUUACUCGCAGAAUAAGCACCGGCUAACUCAGUGCCAGCCGCCGCGGUAACAC
rnacentral:rRNA from 1 species